rfam:Triticum urartu cultivar G1812 contig25554, whole genome shotgun sequence.
AUUAUACUCCCUUCGUCCGGAUAUACUUGUCAUCAAAAUGAAUAAAAGGGGAUGUAUCUAGAUGUAUAUUAGUUCUAGAUACAUCAUUUUUUAUCUAUUUUGAUGACAAGUAUUUUGGGACGGAGGGAGUAGUUU